UAAGCAUCUGCGUUAGCCGGAAGGUGAG
rnacentral:sRNA from 1 species